UACGUAGGCAGCAAGCGUUGUUCGGAGUUACUGGGCGUAAAGGGUGCGUAGGCGGCUUUUUAAGUCUGGUGUGAAAUCUCCCGGCUCAACUGGGAGGGUGCGCCGGAUACUGAGGGGCUAGAGUGUGGGAGAGGAAAGUGGAAUUCCUGGUGUAGCGGUGAAAUGCGUAGAUAUCAGGAGGAACACCGGUGGCGAAGGCGGCACUCUGGGACGGUACUGACGCUGAGACGCGAAAGCGUGGGGAGCGAACAGG
rnacentral:rRNA from 1 species